GUCAAAUCAUCAUGCCCUUUAUAUCUUGGGCUACACACGUGCUACAAUGGCUGCAACAAAGUGAAGCAAGACGGUGACGUUAAGCAAACCACAAAAAAGCAGUCACAGUUCGGAUUGUAGUCUGCAACCCGACUACAUGAAGCUGGAAUCGCUAGUAAUCGCAGAUCAGCAUGCUGCGGUCGAAUACGUUCCCGGGCCUU
rnacentral:rRNA from 1 species